GAAAGUCGUAUGCUUUGGAAGAAGCUUGUACAGUUUGGGAAGGGGUUUUGAUUGAUCAAGAAGAAGUAUCUACUUCAAU
rfam:Daucus carota subsp. sativus cultivar DH1 chromosome 1, whole genome shotgun sequence.